CUGCACAGUGACUUCAGCAGAUAUCCUUUGUUGAAGAAAUAUCAAUGCACAUGAGGGAGUCGAUCACACGGUGCAGCCAUCAAUCAGCAGCUACUGAGCCUAUCUAGUAGGUAACCCUUCAAUGAAAGUAUGAAGAAAAUGCUCCACACGCUGGCUGUAUUCUCACUUGGUGAAGAAUGGGG